UUUGCAACAGGAAGGGGCAAAUGAACACAUAUUUUUUAUGAACCUUUAGGGAUUACUAUAAUAAAAAGGUAAUCAUCUUUAUUCAGGCAGAUUGACAAAGCAAAACAUACCAGCUGGGAAGGCUGUAGUCUUGUUAAUGGAGACCUGGGCCUCAGAAAUAGCCCUCAUCAUCAGCUUCUUGUUGGCUUGUUUGGCUGGGGGGGGCAAGGAGGGUCUAGAAACAGAGACAUGGCUCAAUACACAGAUAACACACUGGGGACACAAACAAUGGAGUGUACAAUUUAUGUGACAGACAAGGGAUGUUCAAAACAGGAUACAAGACCGUUUUUCUACUGUGGCAAGGCUUCCACUUUAACUAAAUGCCCCAAGGCUUCCACUCUAACUAAAUGUCCCAAGGCUUCCACUUUAACUAAAUGCCCCAAGGCUUCCACUUUAACUAAAUGUCCCAAGGCUUCCACUCGAACUAAAUGUCCCAAGGCUUCCACUCGAACUAAAUGUCCCAAGGCUUCCACUCGAACUAAAUGUCCCAAGGCUUCCACUCGAACUAAAUGUCCCAAGGCUUCCACUCGAACUAAAUGUCCCAAGGGAACUAAAUGUCCCAAGGCUUCCACUCAAACUAAAUGUCCCAAGGCUUCCACUCGAACUAAAUGUCCCAAGGCUUCCACUCGAACUAAAUGUCCCAAGGCUUCCACUCGAACUAAAUGUCCCAAGGCUUCCACUCGAACUAAAUGUCCCAAGGCUUCCACUUUAACUAAAUGUCCCAAGGCUUCCACUCUAACUAAAUGUCCCAAGGCUUCCACUCGAACUAAAUGUCCCAAGGCUUCCACUCGAACUAAAUGUCCCAAGGCUUCCACUCGAACUAAAUGUCCCAAGGCUUCCACUCGAACUAAAUGUCCCAAGGCUUCCACUCGAACUAAAUGUCCCAAGGCUUCCACUCUAACUAAAUGUCCCAAGGCUUCCACUCUAACUAAAUGUCCCAAGGCUUCCACUCUAACUAAAUGUCCCAAGGCUUCCACUUUAACUAAAUGCCCCAAGGCUUCCACUCUAACUAAAUGCCCCAAGUCUUCCACUCUAACUAAAUGUCCCAAGGCUUCCACUCUAACUAAAUGUCCCAAGGCUUCCACUCUAACUAAAUGUCCCAAGGCUUCCACUCUAACUAAAUGUCCCAAGGCUUCCACUCUAACUGAAAUGUCCUAAGUCAAAGCUGGGCUGUUUGCUUACGAUAAAAAGCUCUAUAUAGUUGAACAACAUGUAAGUCUUCAGGAGGUCUUAUGAGUGUUAGGGCUCUUCCACAUUAUCAAAGCCAACUAGAACAGUGACAUGUUCAACAUUUAAUCCAUGUCUCCUAAAUCAACACUUACCUGUGCUCUCAUGGGCGGAGAUGGACACGCGGGCCUCUGUCCUAUCAGAGAGCGAGAACUGGACACCAUAAGCCCCUUCGACCCCUCACCCUUCCUCUGGCUCUUCGCAGCUGAGAUGCCACAGCUUCAGAGUAGAGCGGAGGCCUCAUCGACUCUGGUUCUAGAUAUACACACGGAGAGAGAGAGAGAGAGAGAGAGAGAGAGAGAGAGAGAGAGAGAGAGAGAGAGAGAGAGAGAGAGAUUGUCAAUUUAGUUACACAUGGACAGAUAACACCUUUCAAUAGAUAAAGCAUUUGUUUAAAAAAUGCAUGGUCUCUAUUCAAGAACAGAAAAGAGUAAACGCUCAACACACAAGAUGACUUUAUAGUCCAGUAUUAUAACAACCCGGGCCUUGAAGUCUGUUACAUAUCCAUCUCGGGUUCUUUUGAUCUCUGAUAGGGCGAUACCCUCUCUCACCAGUCGAUACAGUGUUACUUUCAGUGAAAACAGACUCCUUUGGCGUAACCUGAACUUACCUACUGCCACAGACCUACUGCCACAGACCUACUGCCACAGACCUACUGCCACAGACCUACUGCCACAGACCUACUGCCACAGACCUACUGCCACAGACCUACUGCCACAGAGCUCAGCUUCUCCAGGACUCCGUGUAAACCUGAACAUACCUACUGCCACAGAGCUUAAGUUGUCAUGUUGUGUUGCUACCAUGUUGUGCUGCUGCCAGGUUGUGUUGCUACCAUGUUGUUGUCAUGUUGUGUUGCUACCAUGCUGUGUUGUCAUGUUGUGUUGCUACCAUGUUGUGCUGCUGCCAGGUUGUGUUGCUACCAUGUUGUUGUCAUGUUGUGUUGCUACCAUGUUGUGCUGCUGCCAGGUUGUGUUGCUACCAUGUUGUUGUCAUGUUGUGUUGCUACCAUGUUGUGCUGCUGCCAGGUUGUGUUGCUACCAUGUUGUUGUCAUGUUGUGUUGCUACCAUGCUGUGUUGUCAUGUUGUGUUGCUACCAUGUUGUUGUCAUGUUGUGUUGCUACCAUGCUGUGUUGUCAUGUGUUGCUACCAUGCUGUGUUGUCAUGUUGUGUUGCUACCAUGUUGUGCUGCUGCCAGGUUGUGUUGCUACCAUGGUGUUGUCAUGUUGUGUUGCUACCAUGUUGUUGUCAUGUUGUGUUGCUACCAUGUUGUGCUGCUGCCAGGUUGUGUUGCUACCAUGUUGUUGUCAUGUGUUUCUGCCAUGCUGUGUUGUUGUCUUAGGUCUCUCUUUAUGUAGUGUUGUCUCUCUUGUUGUGAUGUGUGUUUUGUCCAAUAUGUUAAUUACAUUUAUUUGUAUUUUUAAUCCCGUCCCCAAAAGGAGCCCUUUUGCAUUUUGAUAGGCCUUCAUUGUUAUUUAGAAUUUGUUCUUCACUGACUUGCCUAGUUAAAUAAAGGUUAACUACAUAAUUCCAAA
ensembl:lncRNA